rnacentral:lncRNA from 1 species
GUUCUACCCUGAUGAAGACUACAGUUAUAGUUCUACCCUGAUGAAGACUACAGUAAUAGUUCUACCCUGAUGAAGACUACAGUAAUAGUCCUACCCUGUAACCCUGAUGAAGACUACAGUAAUAGGUCUACCCUGUAACUCUGAAGACUACAGUAAUAGUUAUGGUUUAAACUAGGCUCUUCAACCCUGUUCCUGGAGAGAUACCCUCCUGUAGGUUUUAACUCUGACCCUGUUCCUGGAGAGAUACCCUCCUGGAGGUUUUAACUCUGACCCUGUUCCUGGAGAGAUACCCUCCUGGAGGUUUUAACUCCGACCCUGUUCCUGGAGAGAGACCCUCCUGGAGGUUUUAACUCCGACCCUGUUCCUGGAGGUUUUCACUCCAACCCCAGUUGUAACUAACCUGAUUCAGUUUAUCAACCAGCUAAUUAUUAGAAUCAGGUGUGCUACAGCAGGGUUGGAGUGAAAACCUCCAGGAUGGUAGUUCUUCAGGAACUGGGUUAGAGCUCCCUGAACUAGGCUAUAAGGCAGUGAGGAAGACUCCACUCCUUCAUAUAACACAGACCACUGAGGAAGACUCCACUCCUUCAGAUAACACAGACCACUGAGGAAGACUCCACUCCUUCAGAUAACACAGACCACUGAGGAAGACUCCACUCCUCCACACAGACCACUGAGGAAGACUCCACUCCUCCACACAGACCACUGAGGAAGACUCCACUCCUCCACACAGACCACUGAGGAAGACCCCACUCCUCCACACAGACCACUGAGGAAGACCCCACUCCUCCACACAGACCACUGAGGAAGACUCCACUCCUCCACACAGACCACUGAGGAAGACUCCACUCCUCCACACAGACCACUGAGGAAGGCUCCACUCCUCCAGGUAACACAGACCACUGAGGAAGACUCUACUCCUCCACACAGACCGUUAAGACCAGUACAAAAUUUCCUCCAUCCUUAGACUGUCACUAGUUACCUCGCUCUCUCCGAACAAGAUGCAUAACAAGAGCAGCAAGCCAAGUUAAAAUGAGGAAAAUAUUCCUUAUCUGUUUCUCAUCAUCAGACUGUCCUACCUGGCCAGAAUCACCAGCACCAGCAGGUUACCCACAAGGCUUAGCACAAUGACCACGGAGAGGACCAUGGGUGUGACGAGGGCUCCGAACCAGACCACGUCUGUCUUGGAACAGAGUUCAUCCCCGUACUCUUCGUCAAAGUCGCCGCUGCCGUAGAAAUCACUGGUGGCAUUGGUUCCAUUGCUGUAUUUGGGUUUUAUCAUUGCAAUGUGAUCCAAAAGGUGGCAACGGUGUGCUUUAGGACCAUGCGGACACCUCUGACACCGCGGACACCUCCGAAGGCUGUUUAGAGUGUUCAGCCGGCUGAGUUUAUGACUACCCCGG